GAUGAACGCUGGCGGCGUGCCUAAUACAUGCAAGUCGAGCGAACAGACGAGGAGCUUGCUCCUCUGACGUUAGCGGCGGACGGGUGAGUAACACGUGGAUAACCUACCUAUAAGACUGGGAUAACUUCGGGAAACCGGAGCUAAUACCGGAUAAUAUAUUGAACCGCAUGGUUCAAUAGUUAAAGACGGUUUUGCUGUCACUUAUAGAUGGAUCCGCGCCGCAUUAGCUAGUUGGUAAGGUAACGGCUUACCAAGGCGACGAUGCGUAGCCGACCUGAGAGGGUGAUCGGCCACACUGGAACUGAGACACGGUCCAGACUCCUACGGGAGGCAGCAGUAGGGAAUCUUCCGCAAUGGGCGAAAGCCUGACGGAGCAACGCCGCGUGAGUGAUGAAGGUCUUCGGAUCGUAAAACUCUGUUAUUAGGGAAGAACAAAUGUGUAAGUAACUAUGCACGUCUUAACGGUACCUAAUCAGAAAGCCACGGCUAACUACGUGCCAGCCGCCGCCGUAA
rnacentral:rRNA from 1 species